CAAGUCGAGGGGUAACAGGGAUUGCUUGCAAUCCGCUGACGACCGGCGCACGGGUGCGUAACGCGUAUACAAUCUACCUUACACUGAGGGAUAGCCUUUGGAAACGAAGAUUAAUACCUCAUGGUAUGUUAGUAUGGCAUCAUACAAACAUUAAAGGUUACGGUGUAAGAUGAGUAUGCGUUCUAUUAGCUAGAUGGUGUGGUAACGGCACACCAUGGCGACGAUAGAUAGGGGCCCUGAGAGGGGGAUCCCCCACACUGGUACUGAGACACGGACCAGACUCCUACGGGAGGCAGCAGUGAGGAAUAUUGGGCAAUGGAGGCAACUCUGACCCAGCCAUGCCGCGUGCAGGAAGACUGCCCUAUGGGUUGUAAACUGCUUUUAUACAGGAAGAAACCGCUCUACGUGUAGAGCCUUGACGGUACUGUAAGAAUAAGGAUCGGCUAACUCCGUGCCAGCAGCCGCGGUAAUACGGAGGAUCCAAGCGUUAUCCGGAAUCAUUGGGUUUAAAGGGUCCGUAGGUGGAUAAUUAAGUCAGAGGUGAAAUCCUGCAGCUCAACUGUAGAAUUGCCUUUGAUACUGGUUAUCUUGAGUUAUUAUGAAGUAGUUAGAAUAUGUAGUGUAGCGGUGAAAUGCAUAGAUAUUACAUAGAAUACCAAUUGCGAAGGCAGAUUACUAAUAAUCAACUGACACUGAUGGACGAAA
rnacentral:rRNA from 1 species